rnacentral:rRNA from 1 species
GAGGAAUAUUGCGCAAUGGAGGCAACUCUGACGCAGCCAUGCCGCGUGCAGGAAGAAGGCGCUACGCGUUGUAAACUGCUUUUAACCGGGAAGAAACCCCUCUACGUGUGGAGGGUUGACGGUACCGGAGGAAUAAGCACCGGCUAACUUCGUGCCAGCAGCCGCGGUAAUACGAAGGGUGCAAGCGUUAUCCGGAUUCAUUGGGUUUAAAGGGUGCGUAGGCGGGGUGGUAAGUCAGUGGUGAAAUCCUGCAGCUUAACUGUAGAAUUGCCAUUGAUACUGCCAUUCUUGAGUACGCUGGAUGUGGGCGGAAUGUGCCGUGUAGCGGUGAAAUGCUUAGAUAUGGCACAGAACACCGAUAGCGAAGGCAGCUCACAACGGCGAAACUGACGCUGAGGCACGAAAGCGUGGGGAUCGAAC